UACGUAGGGGGCGAGCGUUGUCCGGAAUUACUGGGCGUAAAGCGCACGUAGGCGGAUUGUUAAGUCGGGGGUGAAAUCCUGGAGCUCAACUCCAGAACUGCCUUCGAUACUGGCGAUCUCGAGUUCGGGAGAGGUGAGUGGAACUGCGAGUGUAGAGGUGAAAUUCGUAGAUAUUCGCAAGAACACCAGUGGCGAAGGCGGCUCACUGGCCCGAUACUGACGCUGAGGUGCGAAAGCGUGGGGAGCAAACAGG
rnacentral:rRNA from 1 species